rnacentral:rRNA from 1 species
AUACGGAGGAUGCAAGCGUUAUCCGGAUUUAUUGGGUUUAAAGGGUGCGCAGGCGGCCAUUUAAGUCAGCGGUUAAAUCGUGGGGCUCAACCCCAUUCUGCCGUUGAUACUGGGUGGCUUGAUUGCGGUCGAGGUUGGCGGAAUUCGUUGUGUAGCGGGGAAAUGCAUAGAUAUGACGAAGAACACCGAUUGCGUAGGCAGCUGACCAGAUCGCAAAUGACGCUCAUGCACGAAAGUGCGGGGAUCGAACAGGAUUAGAUACCCUGGUAGUCCGCACAGUAAACGAUGGAUACUCGCUGUCGGCGAUAUACGGUCGGUGGCCAAGCGAAAGCGUUAAGUAUCCCACCUGGGGAGUACGCCGGCAACGGUGAAACUCAAAUGAAUUGACGGGG